UCUUAAUGAAAGAGGUCGGCUGCUCAAGU
rnacentral:piRNA from 1 species